GUUAAGUCCCGCAACGAGCGCAACCCCUGUCCUAUGUUGCCAGCAUUUAGUUGGGGACUCAUAGGAGACUGCCGGUGAUAAACCGGAGGAAGGUGGGGACGACGUCAAGUCAUCAUGCCCCUUAUGUCCAGGGCUGCACGCAUGCUACAAUGGCAAGUACAACGAGUCGCAAUACCGCGAGGUGGAGCAAAUCUCUCAAAGCUUGUCUCAGUUCGGAUAGGAGUCUGCAACUCGACUCCUUGAAGUUGGAGUCGCUAGUAAUCGCAAAUCAGCAAAGUUGCGGUGAAUACGUUCUCGGGGUUUGUACACACCGCCCGUCAAGUCACGGAAGUCGGCAAUACCCGAAGCCAGUGGUCCAACCCUUUUGGGAGGAAGCUGUCGAAGGUAGGGUCGGUAACUGGGACUAAGUCGUAACAAGGUAGCCGUACGGGAACGUGCGGCUGGAUCACCUCCUUUCUAAGGAGCAUAGAACUUCGGUUCUAAGGUCAAUCAUCGGUUGUCUACAAGACUGAUACACUACUCAGCUGUGAAAAAGUCAAAUUGGCUUUUUGAAAAUUGUAUAGCAAGCGCAAUUGCAAAGUAUUCAUAUAGUUCAAGCUACUAAGGGCUAUUGGUAGAUGCCUUGGCGCUGGAAGCUGAUGAAGGACGUGGAAGACUGCGAAAAGCUACGGGAAG
rnacentral:sRNA from 1 species